rnacentral:rRNA from 1 species
AAACCAACAGGGAUUGCCCCAGUAGCGGCGAGUGAAGCGGCAAAAGCUCAGAUUUGGAAUCGCUUCGGCGAGUUGUGAAUUGCAGGUUGGCGCCUCUGCGGCGGCGGCGGUCCAAGUCCCUUGGAACAGGGCGCCAUUGAGGGUGAGAGCCCCGUGGGACCGUUUGCCUAUGCUCUGAGGCCCUUCUGACGAGUCGAGUUGUUUGGGAAUGCAGCUCUAAGCGGGUGGUAAAUUCCAUCUAAGGCUAAAUACUGGCGAGAGACCGAUAGCGAACAAGUACUGUGAAGGAAAGAUGAAAAGCACUUUGAAAAGAGAGUGAAACAGCACGUGAAAUUGUUGAAAGGGAAGGGUAUUGCGCCCGACAUGGACCGUGCGCACCGCUGCCCCUCGUGGGCGGCGCUCUGGGCGUGCUCUGGGCCAGCAUCGGUUUUUGCCGCGGGAGAAGGGCGGCGGGCAUGUAGCUCUUCGGAGUGUUAUAGCCUGCCGCCGGCGCCGCGAGCGGGGACCGAGGACUGCGACUUUUGUCUCGGAUGCUGGCACAACGGCGCAACACCGC